rnacentral:rRNA from 1 species
GUCCACGCCCUAAACGUUGAUUACUCGUUGUUGGCGAUAUACAGUCAGCGACCAAGCUAAAGCGUUAAGUAAUCCACCUGGGAAGUACGACCGCAAGGUUGAAACUCAAAGGAAUUGACGGGGGCCCGCACAAGCGGAGGAGCAUGUGGUUUAAUUCGAUGAUACGCGAGGAACCUUACCUGGGCUUGAAAGUUAGUGUCGUUCUGUGAAAGCAGAAUUCUCUUCGGAGCACAAAACUAGGUGCUGCAUGGCUGUCGU